GAUGAACGCUGGCGGCGUGCCUAAUACAUGCAAGUCGAGCGAACAGACGAGGGGCUUUCUCCUCUGACGGUAUCGGCGGACGGGUGAGUAACACGUGGAUAACCUACCUAUAAGACUGGGAUAACUUCUGGAAACCGGAGCUAAUACCGGAUAAUAUAUGGAACCGCAUGGUUCAAUAGUGAAAGACGGUUUUGCUGUCACUUAUAGAUGGAUCCGCGCCGCAUUAGCUAGUUGGUAAGGUAACGGCUUACCAAGGCAACGAUGCGUAGCCGACCUGAGAGGGUGAUCGGUCACACUGGAACUGAGACACGGUCCAGAAUCCUACGGGAGGCAGCAGUAGGGCAUCUUCGGCAAUGAGCGAAAGCCUGACGGAGCAACGCCGCGUGAGUGAUGCAGGUCUUCGGCUCGUACAGCACUGUUAUCAGGGAAGAACAAAUGUGUAAGUAACUAUGCACGACUUGACGGUACCUAAUCAGACAGCCACGGCUAACUCCGUG
rnacentral:rRNA from 1 species